rnacentral:rRNA from 1 species
UGAAGUCUGCAACUCGACUUCAUGAAGAUGGAAUCGCUAGUAAUCGCGAAUCAGAAUGUCGCGGUGAAUACGUUCUCGGGCUUUGUACACACCGCCCGUCAAACCAUGAGAGUUUGUAAUACCCGAAGCCGGUGGCCUAACGAAAGAGGGAGCCGUCUAAGGUAGGACAGAUGAUUGGGGUUAAGUCGUAACAAGGUAUCCCUACGAGAACGUGGGGAUGGAUCACCUC